GCGGGUGUCAAGGUGCGGGUCCCUCCAGCCCCGAGACGGUAUGCAGGCCUGCAUCCUUAGGCCACAAACUCGGCUACCACUAGGGCCCGGGUUUUCUCCACUCGUGGGAGUGAUGGUGGGGCUAGGUUCGGUCUGUCGCUUACUUUGCUUGUGCCUCCAUCUAUGUGGUCGAUGCCUCUGGGCUCUCUGCACCGUGGCCUGCAGCCCGGGUGGGCUACGUAGUGUGUGAGAAUGUAGGUGGUGUUGUGCCCGAGGGCGCCUCCCGCUUUCUGCGGCUCCGCUGGACAGUCGGCGGUAGUGUGUGUGUUGCAUGGUAAGGGCUGCUUGUUGCCGCUGUGCGAGGAGAUCCCAGAUAUGGCUCAGUAUCGCCUUUUUGCUUUAUAUGGGCUCACUCCAUUGCAGUUG